rnacentral:RNase_P_RNA from 1 species
GUGAGGGGGCAGGGACUGUCGGGUAUUAAACCCGAGGAAGUUCCGCCCACCGCACCGGGACCGCGGUGCCGCAAGGCACCUCCCGGAAGGGAGGGCAACGGCGCAGAAACGACACGCCCUUCGGGAGAUGUGGAUGAAAGCGGUGAAGGUUCCCGGCGACGGGAGCCGAGUUAACCCGCAGACAAUCCCGGGGGGAACGGUGAAACGGCCGUCCCGCGGGGUGCAAGGCCGAGAGAGGGGCAAUGAGUUCCCGGUGUGAGCCCCGUGGUAGGCCGCUCAGUCGAAUGUCCCUUACUACAGAAGGCGGGCUAUAGCCCCCUCAC